rnacentral:misc_RNA from 1 species
CUCCCAAACCCCUGUGAACAUACCACUUGUUGCCUCGGCGGAUCAGCCCGCUCCCGGUAAAACGGGACGGCCCGCCAGAGGACCCCUAAACUCUGUUUCUAUAUGUAACUUCUGAGUAAAACCAUAAAUAAAUCAAAACUUUCAACAACGGAUCUCUUGGUUCUGGCAUCGAUGAAGAACGCAGCAAAAUGCGAUAAGUAAUGUGAAUUGCAGAAUUCAGUGAAUCAUCGAAUCUUUGAACGCACAUUGCGCCCGCCAGUAUUCUGGCGGGCAUGCCUGUUCGAGCGUCAUUUCAACCCUCAAGCACAGCUUGGUGUUGGGACUCGCGUUAAUUCGCGUUCCUCAAAUUGAUUGGCGGUCACGUCGAGCUUCCAUAGCGUAGNAGUAAAACCCUCGUUACUGGUAAUCGUCGCGGCCACGCCGUUAAACCCCAACUUCUGAAUGUUGACCUCGGAUCAGGUAGGAAUACCCGCUGAACUUAAGCAUAUCAAUA